AACUGAAAAAGGCAAACUUAUCGAAAGGUAAGGACGCAAAGCCACGAGUCUAAGGCGUUUUAGCUAUGAUCGUCGGGUUGCCAAA
rnacentral:ncRNA from 1 species